rnacentral:rRNA from 1 species
UGGGGAAUAUUGGACAAUGGGCGCAAGCCUGAUCCAGCCAUGCCGCGUGAGUGAUGAAUGCCCUAGGGUUGUAAAGCUCUUUCACCGGUGAAGAUAAUGACGGUAACCGGAGAAGAAGCCCCGGCUAACUUCGUGCCAGCAGCCGCGGUAAUACGAAGGGGGCUAGCGUUGUUCGGAUUUACUGGGCGUAAAGCGCACGUAGGCGGACUUUUAAGUCAGGGGUGAAAUCCCGGGGCUCAACCCCGGAACUGCCUUUGAUACUGGAAGUCUUGAGUAUGGUAGAGGUGAGUGGAAUUCCGAGUGUAGAGGUGAAAUUCGUAGAUAUUCGGAGGAACACCAGUGGCGAAGGCGGCUCACUGGACCAUUACUGACGCUGAGGUGCGAAAGCGUGGGGAGCAAACAGG